rnacentral:lncRNA from 1 species
GGCAGUUUUGGCUUUACUAGUGUUUUGAUAGCUAGUUGAUGCUUAUUCUUUGUUUUGUUGGAUUUGUUACCAAGGUUUUCCUCCGCCAUAAGUGAGAGGUGAUCGAAUAAAGAGUGAACUUCUUAAAAAAAAAAAAAAAAAAAAAAAAACCCGUGUUAAAAAAAAAAAAAAAAAAAAAAAAAAAAAAAAAAAAAAAAAAAAAAAAAAAAAAAAAAAAAAAAAGCCGU